rnacentral:rRNA from 1 species
GACGAACGCUGGCGGCGUGCUUAACACAUGCAAGUCGAACGGUGAAGCUCCAGCUUGCUGGAGUGGAUCAGUGGCGAACGGGUGAGUAACACGUGAGCAACCUGCCCCUGACUCUGGAAUAAGCGCUGGAAACGGCGUCUAAUACUGGAUACGAGAAGGGUCCGCAUGGGCACUUUCUGGAAAGUUUUUCGGUUGGGGAUGGGCUCGCGGCCUAUCAGCUUGUUGGUGAGGUAAUGGCCCACCAAGGCGACGACGGGUAGCCGGCCUGAGAGGGCGACCGGCCACACUGGGACUGAGACACGGCCCAGACUCCUACGGGAGGCAGCAGUGGGGAAUAUUGCACAAUGGGCGAAAGCCUGAUGCAGCGACGCCGCGUGAGGGAUGACGGCCUUCGGGUUGUAAACCUCUUUCAGCAGGGAAGAAGCGAAAGUGACGGUACCUGCAGAAGAAGCACCGGCUAACUACGUG